GGCAAUGACGGGUAACGGGGAAUUAGGGUUCGAUUCCGGAGAGGGAGCCUGGGAAACGGCUACCACAUCUAAGGAAGGCAGCAGGCGCGCAAAUUACCCAAUCCUAAUACAGGGAGGUAGUGACAAGAAAUAACAAUACAGGACUUUUUGGUUUUGUAAUUGGAAUGAGUUAAGUAUAAACCCCUUUACAAGUAUCAAUUGGAGGGCAAGUCUGGUGCCAGCAGCCGCGGUAAUUCCAGCUCCAAUAGCGUAUAUUAAAGUUGUUGCAGUUAAAAAGCUCGUAGUUGGAUUUCUGUUAAUAAUUUAUAUAUUAUACUUUUUAAGGUGUUUAUAUAAUAUUAACAUAAUUCAUAUUACUAUAUUUUUUUAGUAUAUGAAAUUUUACUUUGAGAAAAUUAGAGUGCUUAAAGCAGGCGUUAGCCUUGAAUACUCCAGCAUGGAAUAAUAUUAAAGAUUUUUAUCUUUCUUAUUGGUUCUAAGAUAAGAAUAAUGAUUAAUAGGGACAGUUGGGGGCAUUUGUAUUUAACAGUCAGAGGUGAAA
rnacentral:rRNA from 1 species